UCUCUCUUCAUCUCGGGACCUCCUUUCUGCUCCUAAUUGAAGGAAACGACACUUGUUUAUGUGACUCUUUGUUUCCAGAUGAAGGGAUCAUAACCGGGACGUGGACUUUUGACCAGGUGUGUGUAGAGGAGGAGGAGGUGUUAAAGCUUUAGUGUUUCCAUAACCACGCUGUAACAGAAGCCCUGCCGGGGACUCGCACCACCCGGCAGCAGCAACAGCGGCGGCAGCUCUGGUGCUGAGAGCAGCAACAAGGAAAGGAAGAGAAAGAUAUGAUUUAGAUGGGAAAGAGCUCGCUGACUGUGUCCUAAACAGUCUGCACUGCUGUUGCAUCGGUUUCUGGAACAAAUGUAAUCUGAGGUCACUGCAGAGUACAAGUAGGGCAGAAAAUAUAUCAGAAAAUAGUGAAAAAAUGCAACUUUAUAAUUUCCUAUAGUCACCACAUGUCUUGUUUUCUGCGACCAACA